CAGGUAAAAAAACACAAGGAAGGCCGUUGGAGGAGGAAUUACAGUUCUCUUUGUGAACUCUUUACCCUUUCUUCCAUAUUUUUCUUGCACGAUGAGGUGGAAUAGUUAUAAGCUAUUAGAAUAUAUCGCUUCAAGAGGUGGAAACAUUCUCAAUUCUGAUAUUUUUGUACCUGAGCACAAGAAUGUAUAGAAGAAUUCAGCUCGGACAUAUUUUUGCUUCUACACUUGCUGUUGGGCUUGUAGUUUUGCUUGUUCCCUUUUUGUAGAGAUGUUAGUCUUG